rnacentral:lncRNA from 1 species
AUUUCUUGGGCCGCUCCCACGGCAUAUGGAGGUUCCCAGGCUAGGGGUCGAAUUGGAGCUGUAGCCACUGGCCUACGCCAGAGCCACAGCAACGCUGGAUCCGAGCCGCGUCUGCAACCUACACCACAGCUCACGGCAACGCCGGAUCGUUAACCCACUGAGCAAGGGCAGGGACCGAACCCGCAACCUCAUGGUUCCUAGUUGGAUUCAUUAACCACUGCGCCACGACGGGAACUCCAAAUUUAGACCCUAUGAGAAUCUUCAGGCUGAACUGUAUCAGAAAAAAAUAUGAUAUUUUCAGUCUCAAACCUGUAUCUUUAUUUAUUUAUUUAUUUUGUCUUUUGUCUCUUUUUUAGAGCUGCACCCAUGGCAUAUGGAGGUUCCCAGGCUAGGGGUCAAAUUGGAGCUGCAGUCUUGGGCCCAUGCCAGAGCCGUAGCAAUAUCAGAUCCAAGCUGCGUCUGCAACCUACACCAUAGCUCAUGGCAAUGCCGGAUCCUUAACCCACUGAUUGAGGCCAGGGAUUGAACCUGCAACCUCAUGAUUCCUAGUUGAAUUUGUUUCUGCUACGCCAUGACGGCAACUCCUCAAACCUGUAUCUUUUAAUCAACAUGUUUUAAGUAAACAGUGACAAAGCAUGACAGAAUUCGGAGUCCAAAUUUGUUGGUUAGUAUUAUAAGUGGUGGUAUCCAUUUCUAUGUUUUUGGAUACCAAAAAAACAGUCAGGAUAAAUGGGUUUUCUGAGUGAAAAUGUUCUGUACCCUUAGGGGGUAGCAAAUUCCAAUAGUCUACUCCACUGUAUUUCUGUCCCCUUGCUGAUAAGAUACGCUGAUUAAAUGAGAAGUCAGAAAAGGUGUAUUCUUCAAUCAGAUUGUCCAUAUUGUUUCUUCUUACAACUAGUGAAGUUGUUUACUGUUACAUCAUAAAUGUUUGGAUCUUUUUAUCCCUCAAGGUUGACUUGCUUUGUAUAUUUCUCUAGAUAUUAAAGAUUUUUAGUAAGUUUCCUUUAGCUGUUUUAAAAUUAGACUCCUCCCUCUCAGAGCAGAUUUAGCCACUUACUGCUUUGUGUUUCUCCUUGCUUUUUAUUAAAUAUUUCUAUUCUAUGACAAUUUAUCUGUAUAGUCAACUUCCUCCUCAAGACUGUAAGGUUUUGUUAUCAGGUGCUUUAAUGUAAUUUGAGCAUAGAGCUGGCCUAUGGCAGAUACCCAAUGAAUGUUGAAUGAAUGAUGUGAAAUAAAUUUAGGAAUAUAAAAUUAUUAUUCUAAUAGCAAAGCCUUAAUUCAUUGAUCCUAUAUAAAUCAAUUUGCAGAAUAUUUAAAUAAUUAAUAAAGGAAUCAAAACCUAAAAAAAAAAA